AGUGAACGCUGGCGGUAGGCCUAACACAUGCAAGUCGAACGGCAGCACAGUAAGAGCUUGCUCUUACGGGUGGCGAGUGGCGGACGGGUGAGGAAUACAUCGGAAUCUACUUUUUCGUGGGGGAUAACGUAGGGAAACUUACGCUAAUACCGCAUACGACCUACGGGUGAAAGCAGGGGAUCUUCGGACCUUGCGCGAUUGAAUGAGCCGAUGUCGGAUUAGCUAGUUGGCGGGGUAAAGGCCCACCAAGGCGACGAUCCGUAGCUGGUCUGAGAGGAUGAUCAGCGACACUGGAACUGAGACACGGUCCAGACUCCUACGGGAGGCAGCAGUGGGGAAUAGUGGACGAUGGGCGGAAGCCUGAUCCAGCCAUGCCGCGUGGGUGAAGAAGGGCUUCGGGUUGUAUAGCCCUUUUGUUGUGGAAGAAAAGCAGCAGUUUAAUACCACGCUGUUGUGACGGUACCCAAAGAAUAAGCACCGGCUAACUUCGUG
rnacentral:rRNA from 1 species